rnacentral:rRNA from 1 species
AUUGAACGCUGGCGGCAUGCCUUACACAUGCAAGUCGAACGGCAGCGCGGGAGCAAUCCUGGCGGCGAGUGGCGGACGGGUGAGUAACGCGUAGGAAUAUACCUUGAAGUGGGGGAUAACUUGGGGAAACUCAAGCUAAUACCGCAUGAGCUCUGAGGAGGAAAGCUGGGGACCGCAAGGCCUGGCGCUUUAAGAAUAGCCUGCGUCUGAUUAGCUAGUUGGUAGGGUAAAGGCCUACCAAGGCGACGAUCAGUAGCUGGUCUGAGAGGAUGAUCAGCCACACUGGGACUGAGACACGGCCCAGACUCCUACGGGAGGCAGCAGUGGGGAAUUUUGGACAAUGGGCGCAAGCCUGAUCCAGCCAUGCCGCGUGCAGGAUGAAGGCC